rnacentral:SRP_RNA from 1 species
GCUGGGUGUGGCGGUGUUUGCCUAUAAUCCCAGCUAUUGGAAACCUGAGGCUGGAAGAUUGCUUGAGUCAGGAGUUCUGGACUGUAGUGCACUAUGCUCAUUGGGUGUCUGCACUAAGUUCGGCAUCAAUAUGAUGACGUCCUGGGAGCAGGGGACUACUGAAUUGCCGAAAAAGGAGUGAAAUUGCCUAGUCAGAAAUAGAACAGGUCAAAAUUCCUGUGCUUAUCAGUAGUGGGAUUGCACCUGCGAAUAGCCACUGCACUCCAGCCUGGGCAACAUAGGAAGACCCUGUGUCU